rnacentral:rRNA from 1 species
CCCUUAGAUGUUCUGGGCUGCACGCGCGCUACACUGAUGCACUCAACGAGUUUACGACCUUGCCCGAUAGGGUUGGGUAAUCUUUUUAAAAUGCAUCGUGAUGGGGAUAGAUUAUUGCAAUUAUUAAUCUUCAACGAGGAAUUCCUAGUAAGCGCGAGUCAUCAGCUCGUGCUGAUUACGUCCCUGCCCUUUGUACACACCGCCCGUCGCUCCUACCGAUUGAGUGCUCAGGUGAAUAAUUCGGACUGCGGCAUUGACCGGUUCCCGAUCGUUGCUGCGGAAAGUUUAGUGAACCUUAUCACUUAGAGGAAGGAGAAGUCGUAACA